UGUUGAUUGUAUUUAAUCAAUGAAAAAACAAAAGCACAUUUCUUAUUGAGAAUGUUGGCGGAUGUGGUUGCCAAGCCACUCUCCAUCCUUCGGCAGUCCUGACUAACCAGAAAUGUCCCAGCAGACUGGAGACUGGAAAAUGUGAUACCAAUCUUCAGAAAGGGCUGGAAAGAUGAUCCUGGUAGCUACAGACCUAUUGGUUUCACCUCGGUGCCAGGCAAGGUUAUGGAACGGAUUAUCUCGGGAGCCAUCAUGGACCAGUUAAAGGUCAACCAGGGGAUCAGGCCCAAUCAGCAUGGGUUUAUGAAUGGUAGAUCCUGUUUGACAAACCCGACUUCAUUCUAUGACCCUCUUAGUGGAUGAAGGUAAGGCUGUCAAUGUGGUCUACCUGGACUUCAGUAAAGCCUUUGGCACUGUCCUCCAUAACAUCCUCAUGAAGAAGCUGGCUGCCCAUGGUUUGGAUGGCCAUACGCUCCGCUGGGUGAAACGCUAGCUGGAUGGCUGGGCCCAGAGUGUUGUGAUCAAUGGAGUUAAAUCCAGUUGGUGGCCGGUCCCAAGUGCUGUCCCCCAGGGCUCAGUACUGGGGCCGCUUCUAUUUAACAUCUUUAUUAACAAUCUUGAUGAGGGGAUUGAGUGCACCCUCAGUAAGUUUGAAGAUGACACCAAACUGUGAGGGAGUGUUGAUCUGCCAGAGGGGAGAAAGGAACUGCAGAGGGACCUGGAGAGACUAGAUCGAUGGGCCAAGGUAAACUGUCUGAGUUUCAACAGGGACAAGUGUUGGGUCCUGCAUUUUGGUCACAACAACCCCAGGAAACCCUAUAGGCUUGGGGAGGGGUGGCUGGAAAGCUGCCGGACGGAAAGGGACCUUGGUGUACUGAUGGACAGUCGGCUGAAUAUGAGCCCGCAGUGUGCCCAGGUGGUCAAUGGCAUCCUGGCUUGUAUCAGGAAUGGUGUGGUGAACAGGACUAGGGAAGUCAUCCUGCCCCUGUACUCAGCACUGGUGAGGCCUCACCUCGAGUACUGUGUUCAGUUUUGGGCAUCUCAGUACAGAAAGGACGUUGAGGUGCUGGAGCAGGUCCAAAGAAGGGCAACAAGGCUUGUGAAGGGCUUGGAAAAUAUGCCCUAGGAGGAGCGACUGAAGGAACUGGGGCUGUUUAGUCUGGGGAAGAGGAGGCUGAGGGGAGACGUUAUUGCUCUCUUCCAAUAUCUGAAAGGUGCUUACAGCGAGGGUGGGGUUGAUCUCUUCUCACUGGUGACAGGUGACAGGAUGAGGGGAAAUGGCCUCAAGUUGUGCCAGGGUAAGAUUAGGUUGAAUAUCAGGAAAAACUUCUUUACAGAAAGGGUUGUUAAGCACUGGAGUAGGCUCCCCAGGGAGGUGGUUGAGUCACUAUCCCUGAAUGUGUUUAUAAACCGUUUCAACAUGGUGCUCAGGGACAAGAUUUAGUAGAGGGUUGUUAGAGUUAGGGUAGUAUGGUUAGAUUGUGGUUGGACUUGAUGAUCUUUAAGGUCUUUUCCAACCUGAGCAAUUCUGUGAUUCUUUGAUUCCAUAAAACAUUUGAUAGUUUCUGUUUUUCUAUCCAAACC
ensembl:lncRNA